AAGUCGUAACAAGGUCUCCGUUGGUGAACCAGCGGAGGGAUCAUUACAGAGUUUAACAACUCCCAAACCCAUGUGAACUUACCUUUGUUGCCUCGGCAGAGAGGUGCUACCCUGUAACCUACCCUGUAGCGAGCUACCCUGUAGCUACCCUGUAGCGCCCCCCUCUGCCGAUGGACCAUUCAACUCUUGUUAUUUAUUGACAUCUGAGCGUCUUAUUUUAAUAAGUCAAAACUUUCAACAACGGAUCUCUUGGUUCUG
rnacentral:misc_RNA from 1 species